AGAACGAACGCUGGCGGCAGGCUUAACACAUGCAAGUCGAGCGCCUCGCAAGAGGAGCGGCAGACGGGUGAGUAACGCGUGGGAAUCUACCCAUCUCUACGGAACAACUCCGGGAAACUGGAGCUAAUACCGUAUACGUCCUUCGGAGAAAGAUUAUCGGAGAUGGAUGAGCCCGCGUUGGAUUAGCUAGUUGGUGGGGUAAUGGCCUACCAAGGCGACGAUCCAUAGCUGGUCUGAGAGGAUGAUCAGCCACACUGGGACUGAGACACGGCCCAGACUCCUACGGGAGGCAGCAGUGGGGAAUAUUGGACAAUGGGCGCAAGCCUGAUCCAGCCAUGCCGCGUGAGUGAUGAAGGCCCUAGGGUUGUAAAGCUCUUUCAACGGUGAAGAUAAUGACGGUAACCGUAGAAGAAGCCCCGAUAACUUCGUGCCAGCAGCCGC
rnacentral:rRNA from 1 species